GCGGUUGUAGCUCAAGAGGACAGAGCGCUGGCCUCCUAAGCCGGAGGUUGCGGGUUCGAGUCCCGCCAACCGCGCCA
rnacentral:tRNA from 1 species